GUGCUUAACACAUGCAAGUCGAACGGAAAGGCCCUGCUUUUGUGGGGUGCUCGAGUGGCGAACGGGUGAGUAACACGUGAGUAACCUGCCCUUGACUUUGGGAUAACUUCAGGAAACUGGGGCUAAUACCGGAUAGGAGCUCCUGCUGCAUGGUGGGGGUUGGAAAGUUUCGGCGGUUGGGGAUGGACUCGCGGCUUAUCAGCUUGUUGGUGGGGUAGUGGCUUACCAAGGCUUUGACGGGUAGCCGGCCUGAGAGGGUGACCGGCCACAUUGGGACUGAGAUACGGCCCAGACUCCUACGGGAGGCAGCAGUGGGGAAUAUUGCACAAUGGGCGGAAGCCUGAUGCAGCAACGCCGCGUGCGGGAUGACGGCCUUCGGGUUGUAAACCGCUUUCGCCUGUGACGAAGCGUGAGUGACGGUAAUGGGUAAAGAAGCACCGGCUAACUACGUGCCAGCAGCCGCGGUGAUACGUAGGGUGCGAGCGUUGUCCGGAUUUAUUGGGCGUAAAGGGCUCGUAGGUGGUUGAUCGCGUCGGAAGUGUAAUCUUGGGGCUUAACCCUGAGCGUGCUUUCGAUACGGGUUGACUUGAGGAAGGUAGGGGAGAAUGGAAUUCCUGGUGGAGCGGUGGAAUGCGCAGAUAUCAGGAGGAACACCAGUGGCGAAGGCGGUUCUCUGGGCCUUUCCUGACGCUGAGGAGCGAAAGCGUGGGGAGCGAACAGGCUUAGAUACCCCUGGUAGUCCACGCUGUAAACGGUGGGUACUAGGUGUGGGGUCCAUUCCACGGGUUCCGUGCCGUAGCUAACGCUUUAAGUACCCCGCCUGGGGAGUACGGCCGCAAGGCUAAAACUCAAAGGAAUUGACGGGGCCCCGCACAAGCGGCGGAGCAUGCGGAUUAAUUCGAUGCAACGCGUAGAACCUUACCUGGGUUUGACAUGGAUCGGGAGUGCUCAGAGAUGGGUGUGCCUCUUUUGGGGUCGGUUCACAGGUGGUGCAUGGCUGUCGUCAGCUCGUGUCGUGAGAUGUUGGGUUAAGUCCCGCAACGAGCGCAACCCUUGUUCACUGUUGCCAGCACGUUAUGGUGGGGACUCAGUGGAGACCGCCGGGGUCAACUCGGAGGAAGGUGGGGAUGACGUCAAGUCAUCAUGCCCCUUAUGUCCAGGGCUUCACGCAUGCUACAAUGGCUGGUACAGAGAGUGGCGAGCCUGUGAGGGUGAGCGAAUCUCGGAAAGCCGGUCUCAGUUCGGAUUGGGGUCUGCAACUCGACCUCAUGAAGUCGGAGUCGCUAGUAAUCGCAGAUCAGCAACGCUGCGGUGAAUACGUUCCCGGGGCUUGUACACACCGCCCGUCAAGUCAUGAAAGUUGGUAACACCCGAAGCCGGUGGCCUAACCGUUGUGGGGGAGCCGUCGAAGGUGGGACUGGUGAUUAGGACUAAGUCAUAACA
rnacentral:rRNA from 1 species